GAUGAAGAACGUAGCGAAAUGCGAUAAGUAAUGCGAAUUGCAGAAUUCCGUGAGUCAUCGAAUCUUUGAACGCACAUUGCGCCCCUUGGUAUCCCGAGGGGCAUGCCUGUUCGAGCGUCAUUUCACCACUCAAGCCUGGCUUGGUGUUGGGCGACGUCCCCUUUGGGGACGCGCCUCGAAACGCUCGGCGGCGUGGCACCGGCUUUAAGCGUAGCAGAAUCUUUCGCUUUGGAAGUCGGGGCCCCGUCUGCCGGAAGACCUACUCGCAAGGUUGACCUCGGAUCAGGCAGGGAUACCCGCUGAACUUAAGCAUAUCAAUAAGCGGAGGA
rnacentral:misc_RNA from 1 species